AGUUCGGAUUGGAGUCUGCAACCCGACUCCAUGAAGCUGGAUUCGCUAGUAAUCGCGCAUCAGCCACGGCGCGGUGAAUACGUUCCCGGGCCUUGUACACACCGCCCGUCAAGCCAUGGAAGCCGGGGGUGCCUGAAGUGCGUGACCGCAAGGAGCGCCCUAGGGUAAAACCGGUGACUGGGGCUAAGUCGUAACAAGGUAUC
rnacentral:rRNA from 1 species